AUUUGGAAUUUUUGAGUUAUGUCCUGUCACAGCUGCAGUCGUGCAAGUGCUGUGUUUAUAUUCUCUGUUAGUCACUGAGAAAAUAAGGAAGAAAAAAAGAGGGUAUUUCUUCAGCAUGAGGUUGGUGAGGCCCUGGCACAAGGUCCCCAGAGCAGCUGUGGCUGCCCCAUCCCUGGAAGUGUCCAAGGCCAGGCUGGGCAGGGAUUGGAGCAGCCUGGUCUGGUGGAAGGGAUCCCUGCCCAUGGCAGGCUGUGGAAUGGGGUAUCUUUAAGGUCCUUUCCAACCCAAACCAUUCUAUGAUUUAUUUCUUUCUAGGCGUGGUAUUGUUGUUUUGGGAGAUAAAGAGUAAAACUGAGGCACUUCAGAACAGCCCUCAGGAUGGUUGGCUCUCUACAGGCUUCACUGAGCAUUAAAGGAUGCACCUGAGUUGGUGCUGAAAUAGUUAAUUAAUAGCACAGGGCUGGGAAAUCAGCUUUCUGCCUGGCACAACUGCUUCAGGAAUCCUGCCAGGAGCCAGUAGCUGAAAGCCUCACUAAAACCAACAGGACAGCACUAUUAAAUGCCCGGAGUCUUAAAUGAUUUGUGGUUUGUCAGGGUGACAUGCUUGUGGUCUUCAUGGAAGUGCAACCUGAGAGACAUCCCUGCUAUUUACAGAAAUGUGAUUUCUUUCCUGGGUGCUGGAGGGAGCAUUUGCCUGGAGCUGGCUACAAGAAUGAAUGUCUGCACAGCCAUAUCUGGUUCUUGAAUAGGUGCCAUAAUCUACUCAGGCUGCCUGAGGUCAAGCUUGUUCUGGGAUCUCUGGCUCUCCUGACAGGCUGCUGGAUUUUGGGACCUUGGAGCAGCACUCCUCGGGCUCUGGGAGAUGUGGGUGAACACAGGUGGCUCUGGGCUGUUGGAGGAGGAAGAGGAUGCUCUGUGUUUGUAUGGAGAAAGAAUAUGGCAAUGCCCCACAUGAGACAGCUCCAACACUGCAAAUUAUUCUCGUUUUGCUUUUUCCUUACAAAAGCACCAUAA
rnacentral:lncRNA from 1 species